rnacentral:rRNA from 1 species
GACGAACGCUGGCGGCGUGCUUAACACAUGCAAGUCGAACGGUGAACGAUGGAGCUUGCUCCCUCCGGAUCAGUUGCGAACGGGUGAGUAACACGUGAGCAAUCUGCCCCGAACUCUGGGAUAAGCGUUGGAAACGACGUCUAAUACCGGAUACGACGCGUGAGGGCAUCCUCUCCGCGUGGAAAGAACUUCGGUUCGGGAUGAGCUCGCGGCCUAUCAGCUUGUUGGUGAGGUAACGGCUCACCAAGGCGACGACGGGUAGCCGGCCUGAGAGGGUGACAGGCCACACUGGGACUGAGAAACGGCCCAGACUCCUACGGGAGGCAGCAGUGGGGAAUAGUGCACAAUGGGCGCAAGCCUGAUGCAGCAACGCCGCGUGAGGGACGACGGCCUUCGGGUUGUAAACCUCUUUUAGCAGGGAAGAAGCGAAAGUGACGGUACCUGCAGAAAAAGCACCGGCUAACUACGUG